CCCCAUGAGUGCCUUCUGGGAUCCUGGUUAACCUCUUCUGCAGAAGACAGGCCUCCUUCCUCCCCUGCUUUGCACUGUCAUGAACAGAGAGAGAAAAGAAAGAAAAGAUUCGAAGCAGGAUAACUGGUGAUUGCAUUGCCAGCUACCUCAUUGCCACCGAGACUGAGAGGCAGAGAUGAGAGCGUCCACAGGGACCCAAGGAUGAGGUGAAAUACUGAAGAUAAAGUUGCUUGGCGUUUUCUCUUUCAGCAGUUUAGCCAAUAUUUAGCUAAUUUUCACUGCAGCUGAUCUGUGCUGCUCAUCUCCAUGUGCUGCAUGGGGCUGAGGGGCUCAGAGAAGAUCCUGUAAGUCAGAGGUUCCUCCAGUGUCGCUGGACAAGUGGAGCAAAAGAGCACAUGGAACCAUAAGUAAUGGAGUGUCUGUCAGCACUGCUAUUUAGAGCACCACAAUGCACUGAUGAAAAGCACUGCAACAUCUUGCUGCUCGGCUUGAUGAAACAACACCAGAUGCUGAAACUCCGCUGAAACUCAGCAGUAGGAAAGGGAAUGUUUGGUGGGAUGCAUGCUGCGUAACACAGAGGUACGACCUGCAGUGAGAACACUCAAGAUCCUAAUAUUUUUAGGUAUUGUAAGUGAAGUCAACACAUUGAACU